rnacentral:rRNA from 1 species
GUGGAAUGGCGCAGCUACCAUGCAGUCGUACGAGAAGGUUCCUUCGGGAACUGGAGAGUGGCGCACGGGUGAGUAACGCGUGGGGACCUACCUCUUAGUGGGGGAUAACGGUUGGAAACGACCGCUAAUACCGCAUACGCCCUUCGGGGGAAAGAUUUAUCGCUAAGAGAUGGACCCGCGUUGGAUUAGAUAGUUGGUGAGGUAACGGCUCACCAAGUCAGCGAUCCAUAGCUGGUUUGAGAGGAUGAUCAGCCACACUGGGACUGAGACACGGCCCAGACUCCUACGGGAGGCAGCAGUGGGGAAUAUUGGACAAUGGGCGCAAGCCUGAUCCAGCCAUGCCGCGUGAGUGAAGAAGGCCUUCGGGUUGUAAAGCUCUUUCAGAUGCGAAGAUGAUGACGGUAACAUCAGAAGAAGCCCCGGCUAAUUUCGUGCCAGCAGCCGCGGUAAUACGAAAGGGGCAAGCGUUGUUCGGAUUUACUGGGCGUAAAGGGCACGCAGGCGGUCCUGCCAGUCAGGGGUGAAAGCCCGGGGCUCAACCCCGGAACUGCCUCUGAUACUGCAGGACUAGAGACUAGGAGAGGGUGGUGGAAUUCCCAGUGUAGAGGUGAAAUUCGUAGAUAUUGGGAGGAACACCAGAGGCGAAGGCGGCCACCUGGACUAGAUCUGACGCUCAGGUGCGAAAGCGUGGGGAGCAAACAGGAUUAGAUACCC